GCGCCCGUAGCUCAGCUGGAUAGAGCGUCGGCCUCCGGAGCCGAAGGUCAGGGGUUCGAAUCCCUUCGGGCGCGCCA
rnacentral:tRNA from 2 species